rnacentral:rRNA from 1 species
UACGUAGGGGGCAAGCGUUGUCCGGAAUUAUUGGGCGUAAAGGGCGCGUAGGCGGGUUCGCAAGUCUGUGGUGAAAGCCUCCAGCUUAACUGGAGAAGUGCCGUGGAUACUGCGAAUCUUGAGGAGGGUAGGGGCGUCUGGAACGGUCGGUGGAGCGGUGAAAUGCGUUGAUAUCGACCGGAACUCCGGUGGCGAAGGCGAGGCGCUGGACCCUUUCUGACGCUGAGGCGCGAAAGCCAGGGGAGCAAACGGG